rnacentral:lncRNA from 1 species
UUGUCUCUAGCUACUGCUAGGUUGUCAGGGUCUUGCUUCCAAGCAAAAAAAACCCAACUGUAGAGGGUUGAUCAUUAGUUUACAGAAUCAGUGAGGAGGCUGGAGAACCAACAGGCUCAGAAAAUAAGAGAAGCCAAGAGGGUCUAGGCAACCCAGAACAGCUAGCUGCCCAGAGUCUGGGGCAACCAGCAUUUUGGUUUUUAAGUUUCCUCCUGUCAAGAGUUAUACCUUGCUUGGGCAGCCCAGGUGGCUCAGUGGUUUAGCGCCACCUUCAGCCCAGGACAUGAUCCUGAAGACCCAGGAUCGAGUCCCACGUCAGGCUCCAUGCAGGAAGCCCUAUGCAGGACUCAAUCCUGGGACUCCAGAAUCACGCCCUGAGCCAAAAGCAGAUGCUCAACCGCUGAGCCACCCAGACAUCCCAAGAACAUUUAAAAUGUGCAUUUAAUAAGGCCAUUUUAGCCAUAAGGAAUUGUUUUGUUAUUAUUACUUUUAUUUUAAAGAGUGCUAUUAAGUACUAGAAAAUCUGAAAAAUAUUUCCAGAACUACAAUGUUCAUCCUGUUGUGGGCAUGGCCGUUUUAUUAAUUCCUUCCUUGCUGUAAGUGAAAAUAUACAGAGGUAUUCCCCUUACUCCCAGCCCCCACUCCAAAACUAAACCAAAUUAAUUGUGAAAUAUGGUAUGAUUCACCUUAUUUUCUGGAAUUCACCUAUAAAAAUCAGGUAUUGGCUAUGGGUGGCAGAGUCAUUUUUAGGCAUUCCUUGAUUAUUCCAUUCUCCAGUGUCAUUUGACUUCCAUCUCUAAAUUUAGUCUUUAAGUAUCCAACAUAGAGCUUAUCUACAUAUUUGUUAUUUAUUGCUUACUGCAAAGGAAUGAAUGAUUAUUUUAAGAUUUGUAACAUUAUGGAAACAAAGAACAAAGAAUGAUCACUCCCCAUAAUCCUGCCCUCAGAGAUAACUACUAUUAACAGUUUGGUAGUUCUUAAUCUAGACUGUCUGGUUUCCAUUUUCAGCUUUUCCGUUUAGCUGGCUACCCUGAACAAGUUAUUGGUCCUCACACUGCCUGAGUUUCCUCAUUUCAGAGUAAUAGUAAUAGUUUACUGGUUCACAAGGCUGAGAGAGGGUUUAAUAAGAUAAAGCAUUCAGCAGAGUUACUGAUAUAUAAUAAGUUUCAUAAAUGCUAGUUUGCAUACAUAUGUUAGUCAAGAUAGACUAGAUUAUAUUGGAAUAACAAAAAAUCCACCCAAAUAUCAGUUGCUUAACACAACAAAAAUUUACUUCUUGCUAAUGCUGCAUAUCUUAUUGCAGAUUGGCAGGGCGUUUUCUCCAUGCAGUCACUCAGGGGCCCAGGGUAAUGGAAGUUCUAUCAUGUUGUGGUCACACUCUGCAAUGCAUGGUACUUUUAGUCAUCACAGCAACAAAAAGACUAUAAAUCACACAUCGGUUUUUUUUACUGCCUCAGCCCAUAAUUGACAUACUAAAUUUCAGCACUUACAAUUUGCUAGUCAGAACUGGUAAUCAUAGCCCUGCUCUGCUACAAGUAAGCUGUAGACAUAUGGAAUGUGAAGUGCAGAAUAUUUGGUGAAUGCUACUACCUCUUUCAAGUCCACCUUUCCUGCCACCCAGUAAUGUAGAUUAUCCAAAUUGUGUUGUAGUUUUUAUGUUUUUUUUUUAAUUUAAUGUAUCAUGGACAUUUCCCCAUAUCAGUACAUAUUAAUUCAUUCAUUGACCAUUUAUUUAUUUUUAAAAAGAUUUUAUUUAUUUAUUUGUGAGAGAAAGUAUGAGAGAGAGAGAGAAUGAGCAGGCAUGAGUAGGGGAGGGGGCAGAGGGAGAAGUAAACUCCCUGCUAAGAAGGGAUCCUGAUGUAGUGCUUGAUCCCAGGAUCCUGAGAUCAUGACCUGAGUUAAAGGCAGGCACCCAACAACUGAGCCACCCAGGCUCCCCUCACUGACCAUUUAGUAAGCCUUUCUAUGCAUCAGGCCUAUUCUAAAUACUGGGCUAUAACAAUGAAGAUAACAUUUGAUAAUCCCUGUCUUCAUGUAAUUUAUUGGGUUGCAAACAGGUAAGAAAUAAAAUAUUUUUUUGAAGUAUAAUGUGUUAGGGCAGCCCCGGUGGCACAGCGGUUUAGCGCCGCCUGCAGCCCACGGCGUGAUCCUGGAGACCCUGAAUCAAGUCCGUCGGGCUCUCUGCAUGGUGCCUGCUUCUCCCUCUGCCUGUGUCUCUGCCUCCCUCUCUCUCUCUCUCUGUGUCUCUAUGAAUAAAAAAAUAAAGUCUUUAAAAAAAAUAAAGUAUAAUGUGUUAGAAGGUAAUAAAUGUUACGGUGAGAAAAAAA